rnacentral:lncRNA from 1 species
GGGUCCUAGCUAAGAAAAUAAAGACACCAAAGCCUCUGGUGCCAAUUGUCGACUCAAUACGAGCCUCUGAAGAGGCCAUGGCUUUAUCAUUGGCUCUGUUCUUCCUCAUAGAAUCUUUUUUUGGGCCUCUUAAACCCCAAAUCACAAUCAUUGGGCUUGAUAGGUGCCCAUCCUGCAUCAAAAUCAGGAGGUCGAGCACACUUUGGGUUGGGUUGAGCCCACCCUCAAAGGAGCC